CUAAUACAUGCAAGUCGAGCGCAGGAAGCAGACUGAUCGUCCUUCGGGAGUGAUGUUUGUGGAAUGAGCGGCGGACGGGUGAGUAACACGUGGGCAACCUGCCUGUAAGACCGGGAUAACUUGCGGAAACGUGAGCUAAUACCGGAUAAAGCUCCAUGCCGCAUGGCAUGGGGAUGAAAGACGGCUUAGCUGUCGCUUGCAGAUGGGCCCGCGGCGCAUUAGCUAGUUGGUGGGGUAACGGCCUACCAAGGCGACGAUGCGUAGCCGACCUGAGAGGGUGAUCGGCCACACUGGGACUGAGACACGGCCCAGACUCCUACGGGAGGCAGCAGUAGGGAAUAUUCCGCAAUGGGCGAAAGCCUGACGGAGCGACGCCGCGUGAGCGAUGAAGGUCUUCGGAUCGUAAAGCUCUGUUGUUAGGGAAGAACAAGUACCGGAGUAACUGCCGGUACCUUGACGGUACCUAACCAGAAAGCCCCGGCUAACUACGUGCCAGCAGCCGCGGUAAUACGUAGGGGGCGAGCGUUGUCCGGAAUUAUUGGGCGUAAAGGGUGCGUAGGCGGUCUCUUAAGUCUGAUGUGAAAGCCCACGGCUUAACCGUGGAGGGUCAUUGGAAACUGGGAGACUUGAGUGCAGAAGAGGAGAGUGGAAUUCCAUGUGUAGCGGUGAAAUGCGUAGAGAUAUGGAGGAACACCAGUGGCGAAGGCGA
rnacentral:rRNA from 1 species